rnacentral:rRNA from 1 species
GAGUUUGAUCCUGGCUCAGGACGAACGCUGGCGGCGUGCCUAACACAUGCAAGUCGGACGGGGUGAGUUAGUGGAAGCUUUCGGGUUGAAGCUGACUUACCUAGUGGCGGACGGGUGAGUAACGCGUGAAUUACCUACCCUAGGGAGGGGGAUAACGCCUGGAAACGGGUGCUAAUACCCCAUAGGCCGGGAGGUUAAAGGGAGGAAUCUGCCCUAGGAUGGGUUCGCGUCCUAUCAGCUAGUUGGUGGGGUAAUGGCCUACCAAGGCGAAGACGGGUAGCCGGUCUGAGAGGAUGUACGGCCACACUGGAACUGAGACACGGUCCAGACUCCUACGGGAGGCAGCAGUGGGGAAUAUUGGGCAAUGGGCGCAAGCCUGACCCAGCGACGCCGCGUGAGGGAAGAAGGCCUUUGGGUUGUAAACCUCUGUU